GCUCCCUUAGCUCAGCUGAAUAGAGCAACGGAUUUCUAAUCCGUAGGUCGCAGGUUUGAGUCCUGCAGGGAGUA
rnacentral:tRNA from 1 species